UACGGAGGGUGCGAGCGUUGUCCGGAAUCAUUGGGCGUAAAGGGCGCGUAGGCGGCCUGUUAAGUCGAACGUGAAAUCCCCGGGCUCAACCCGGGAACUGCGUCCGAUACUGGCAGGCUUGAAUCCGGGAGAGGGAUGCGGAAUUCCAGGUGUAGCGGUGAAAUGCGUAGAUAUCUGGAGGAACACCGGUGGCGAAGGCGGCAUCCUGGACCGGCAUUAACGCUGAGGCGCGAAAGCCAGGGGAGCAAACGGG
rnacentral:rRNA from 1 species